rnacentral:rRNA from 1 species
GUCCAGACUCCUACGGGAGGCAGCAGUGGGGAAUAUUGCACAAUGGGGGAAACCCUGAUGCAGCGACGCCGCGUGAGCGAAGAAGUACCUCGGUAUGUAAAGCUCUAUCAGCAGGGAAGAAGAUGACGGUACCUGACCAAGAAGCUCCGACUAAAUACGUGCCAGCAGCCGCGGUAAUACGUAUGGAGCAAGCGUUAUCCGGAUUUACUGGGUGUAAAGGGAGCGCAGGCGGCACGGCAAGUCCGGUGUGAAAGCCCGGGGCCCAACCCCGGGACUGCACUGGAAACUGCCGGGCUGGAGUGUCGGAGGGGCAGGCGGAAUUCCCAGUGUAGCGGUGAAAUGCGUAGAUAUUAGGAGGAACACCGGUGGCGAAGGCGGCCUGCUGGACGACGACUGACGCUGAGGCUCGAAAGCGUGGGGAGCAAACAGGAUUAGAUACCCGAGUACC